rnacentral:lncRNA from 1 species
AGAGCGAAGGUUGACAGAGUCGUUGUUGAUUCGCGUUGCUAUAGAGCGCGUUUCAGGCCUCCGUAACUUUGCUUGGCUCUGGUGGAUUUGAUUCCCCGUUGUAAUUAGAGAGGAAGCCUCUCAAGUGCUCAGAAAAACAAAAUUUGGGUCUGUGGAAUGACCGAGUUGAAUAUUGGCUGCAAUACUACCAACUCCCUCCUUCAUCACCACGGAACGAUAACGUAAACUGAAUCACUCUGAAGCCUCCAGAUUUCAACAUCGAGUCGAGUUCAUGCGUAAUUUUCCAAGCGUCGAUUCAACAACUCUACCUCGCAUCUCACAAAUUGACUGCUUGCCCCAGAGUCGCGUGGAUCCAGACGAGUUCGAGCAGAAGCGAAGGGCUGACAAAAUAGAAGAACACAAAAAUCAAGUCAUGUCUCAAGCAGCCGCGUUGAAAGAACAGAGCUUUGGCCACAAACGGACUCAAUAUCCCUCGGGGGUCUUGCCUCCGAUUUCACAGAUAUCCAUGGGGGGAAGGCAGCUCCCUGCGGACGGAAGCACCCAGGGAGGCUUGAAACUUCCCCCUAUCUCUCAAGUGAGCUGUCUAGGGGGAUUCGUGGAUGACAAACACGUAGUAGUGAAGCAAUCAAAGUCUCGGAUCCGAGAGACCGAUUCUGACUUCAUAAGGCUGUCCAAAGCAGGAGGUCAGAAGAAUCUGCUCCAUUACAUAGAAGCUAAUUCCACGCCGCGCGCGGACGCCACCGACGCGAGCGUGACUCCUCGCACGCGUUACCUUCCCGGGUUCACUUCGGAGGCAGACCCAAGAUGGCGUCCAUCCCACUGGUCGGACUUCUCGCGUCGAGGACAAGCCAGAAGCGAUCACAGACUUAUAUGGAGGUAGAUAAAUGCGAGAACUGACUUAUAUAGAGGUAGAUAAAUGCAUGCGAGAACUGACUUACCAACAAAUGCUGGCGUAAAAAGCUUAUUCAUAUGCUCUUCGACUGUUUCAAGAUUUUCUUACUUGGAAAGUUUCAUUGCCUUUUAUUUUGAUAAAGUAACAGUAGCCCGUUCUAACGAACAAUAACUGAACAAUAUACCUGAUUUUUGUCUCAUUACGUGUAAAAUAUGACAAAAUUGAGUGAAUGAUAAAUAUCUGUUCUUUGUAUCAGAGUUUACGUGAAGUAUUUCCUCCAUCAAUGCCCCGUCCGCGUAUUUCAAAUUUUAGGUUUCCCUUGGUCAAUCUCCAGGACUGAAUCAGUUUUAUCUUGAGAAAAUUUUAUUUUUGACAAAAAAUAACCUGGAUUAGUCCCGCCUUCUCUUACCUCAAUUCUUGUAGUUGUACGAGUUUACGUUUGAAAUUCCAUGUUUUAUACCAGUGUUUAUUCAUGGACGGGCGCUCAAUCGACAAAUUACGCGUUUUCUUUCGUCUAAAUCACUGUACAUUCCUAUUAAGGUGGGUAAUCUAAGGGCCGUUGUAGACAAAUCAACGAUAGCAGAACUCAAACAAUUUCCUUGGUUAGUUUUUUUCUGAAUAUUAUCCAAACAAUGUACUGACAUCUGCGGUAGACCGCGGCUGCAGUCAGUGUGAUGGACUGGACGCCAGUCACAAGAGGUAGUUGUUCCACUAAAUGGUUCAAGUUAUUAAAAGUUUUUGAAAAAUUAGAUGUACCGAUCAGGAUGUAAAUACUGUUUAAAUAAUAGAUAAAAUCAUGUAUGUCCAAGACGUUUACGUAAUAAAAUUACAUUUUACAUGCCA